UAGUUUGAUCCUGGCUCAGGACGAACGCUGGCGGCGUGCUUAACACAUGCAAGUCGAGCGGUAAGGCCCUUUCGGGGGUACACGAGCGGCGAACGGGUGAGUAACACGUGAGUAAUCUGCCCUUCACUUUGGGAUAACCCUCGGAAACGGGGGCUAAUACCGGAUAUGACCAUUGGCGGCAUCGUCUGGUGGUGGAAAGUUUUGGCGGUGGAGGAUGAGCUCGCAGCCUAUCAGCUUGUUGGUGAGGUAGUGGCUCACCAAGGCUUCGACGGGUAGCCGGCCUGAGAGGGUGACCGGCCACACUGGGACUGAGACACGGCCCAGACUCCUACGGGAGGCAGCAGUGGGGAAUAUUGGACAAUGGGCGGAAGCCUGAUCCAGCAAUGCCGCGUGAGGGAUGACGGCCUUCGGGUUGUAAACCUCUUUCGCCCAUGACGAAGCGAGAGUGACGGUAGUGGGUAAAGAAGCACCGGCCAACUACGUGCCAGCAGCCGCGGUAAUACGUAGGGUGCGAGCGUUGUCCGGAAUUAUUGGGCGUAAAGGGCUCGUAGGCGGUUUGUCGCGUCGGGAGUGAAAACUCAGGGCUUAACCCUGAGCCGGCUUCCGAUACGGGCAGACUAGAGGUAGGUAGGGGAGGACGGAAUUCCUGGUGUAGCGGUGGAAUGCGCAGAUAUCAGGAGGAACACCGGUGGCGAAGGCGGUUCUCUGGGCCUUACCUGACGCUGAGGAGCGAAAGCGUGGGGAG
rnacentral:rRNA from 1 species